GUGUAUGUGAGAACUUUGCUGUUGCAUCUUAUUUUAUACACAUUACACCUUAAUGACAACACAGCCUAAUGUAUAAAUACAUACAUUUCUCAGAAUCAGAAUUCAUACAGUUAAAAAUAUAGGGGCUACAAUGUCUGUCAAUGCACAGCAGCCUUAAUACUCACAAUUGAAUAUAGAAUAGAACAGGUAUAGCCAACCCUGGUCCUCGAGAACCACUGCCCUGCUUGUUUUCCAGCUGUCCCUGCCCUUCCAGCUUCUGAUUGACAACUGAUCCAUUACUAAUCAGCAGUAUGUAAGGCAUGGAUCGUUAGAAAACAAGCAGGGCAGUGGCUUUCGAAGAUCAGGGUUGGCUGCCUUGGAUUUACUCAACGUUAAUGAUUAUAUGGCUACAGUAAUUGAUGAUGUAGAAUUGGACAGACAGACAUUGGCAGACAUUCUUGUUAAAACUGCCUUCAAUAAUGUACACAAUGGUCCUGAAACUCUAAUAACAGCAUUUCCUAAUGUUGUGUUGCUACUUGACAGCUGCAUUGCGGAGAGAGCACAGAAGUGAGGGUGGCACCAGACCCUCACGGAGCGCUUACCCUAUGUCAACUGCAAGUAAGGAAUGUGAUGUGAAUAUGUGACAUUUACAACACUGGCCAUAAAGUAAAAAAAAAAACAGUAAAGCAAAGUCUGUAAAUGUUCUGAGUUUGUUAUCAUCCUUUGUUAGAGGUUCAAUAGUUGUUAACUAAAAAUCGAAUGGCAAUAUUGAUACCAGUGUUUUUGCUCUGUCAAUUCAGUCUUGCUCUUCAGUUUUUGCAGCCCUAUAUUCACCGAAAUCAGCAGGCAAUGAAGACUGGUUUAGGUUCUAAAAAAACAGUCAAGCCUAAUGCCCUGCGUAAACACAAAAUGUGACAGCAAGUGUCAUGUUCACUUUUGGAGUUUAAGUAGUCUUGUUUGAAGGGUGUGUGUAUAUAUUAAUGUGCUGAUUUUUCUUUCAGGAUUCCAAAGGAAGGUCUUUUUUCAUGCUGUUUGGUUUAAAAGAUGAACUUGAGCGAAUAUCUGCCAUUCUGGACCCUGGCAAGUCUACAUCAUCUUUUAAAAGACUGGAUUAAGAGAGUGACCUAAAAUCCUUUGAAGAAUACAUCAAAGAUGAUGAAAAGAAGUGGAUCUGUGUUCAGCAACUGUCCAGAGUUGGUGGAUCUUCUGUCAGGGACUGCGUUAACCAAAUCAUGAACAGAGUCAUGUCAAAUGCCUUAAUGGCCAAAUUCAAUAUGAGGGGUGGUGGCCAACAUGACAAAAAGCCUUUCAAAGCUACAGCUUUGUACUAUGUAAUUCAAGAUAUGCUCUAAAGAGGUGGAGUCCAACUGCCACAGAUUCCGAAAUUGACACAGCAGUGGCGGAACACCUAAAACAUGCUCCAGGAUAAGCUGGGGGUGGUGGCUAUAAGAAAUGAGCUGUGCUACAGAAAUGUGCUAUAGUAAACAUUUUGAAAUAAUAGUAAAUAAAUAAAGAUUAUAAAUAUA